CUUCGGAUCCUGAGGCCAAAGAUCGCACCGGCUUGCCGGUGCUGUCUCCAGGGGAUGGGCCCGCGUCCGAUUAGCUAGUUGGCGAGGUAAUGGCUCACCAAGGCUACGAUCGGUAGCUGGUCUGAGAGGAUGAUCAGCCACACUGGAACUGAAACACGGUCCAGACUCCUACGGGAGGCAGCAGUGAGGAAUAUUGCGCAAUGGGGGAAACCCUGACGCAGCAACGCCGCGUGGGUGAAGAAGGCCUUCGGGUCGUAAAGCCCUUUCGGACGGGACGAACGCUUCGCGGCGAAAGCCGCGGAGUCUGACGGUACCGUAUGAAGAAGCACCGGCUAACUCCGUGCCAGCAGCCCGCGGUAAUACGGAGGGUGCGAGCGUUGUUCGGAAUUACUGGGCGUAAAGCGCGUGUAUGCGGCCUUUCAAGUCAGGCGUGAAAGCCCUUC
rnacentral:rRNA from 1 species